GUGACUUCGUUGGUCUGAAAAUGCUUGCACAGUAUUGUGUCCAGAAUUGGUUCCUUCCGGUGGGUUCUUGGUCUCACUGACUUCAAGAAUGAAGCCACGGACCCUUGCGGUUGUUCCCACAGCCUGGAAGUCUCUUCCCUGACUUGUUCCACGAUCAACCUCUACUCACCCUUCAAGGCUCAGCUCAAAUGCCCCUUGCCCCAGAAACCUUCCACAAGUCCUGAAGGCAUCACUGAACCCCAUUUCCAGGAUGAGCCCACAGCACUGCAUACAAUGAGUUGAGCAGUAAUUAUUUGUAUCUGGUCCAGGUUCCCAAUGAUUAACUCCUUGAGAGUAGGAACACUAUCACGUUCAUCUUGGAAUCCUCAGUGACUGACACAGAGCUUGCUGUACAAGAAGCC
rnacentral:lncRNA from 10 species